rnacentral:lncRNA from 1 species
GAUGCUGGCAGAGUGAAUAGAUUACAUCCAUGCUGAUAUGAGAGUCUGCUUUGUCUCCAUUAAUAGAAUGUCAUGUUUCAACUGUGGACUUGACUGCUGUUGCUACCACUGUUUCCUAACAUGUGACUUGUCCAGGGACUCCACAUCUAACCUAAACCAAUACAGUAAGGUCUUCUUGCUCCAUAUUUCCUGAAUUUUACAGCAAUCAUAAUUUAUCAGAGUUGAAGUUUCUUUGAUAUUAUAAAUAAAAUGAGUUAGGCUAAACAUUAUCUGUAGUCAUAUUCGGUAAUAAAAAUUUAAAUUAUAUUAAUCAGAGACAUUUGCUCAAUUCUAGAAUUGCUCUUUCUAUAAUUCAUCUCCCCUAAGUACUUUUCAUUAAUGCAUCUCCUUAUGCAAAUUGAAAAUUAUGGAGUAAAUAACCAGAUACUACAACCCAGGUACAGAUUUAAGACGCUCCUUUUUGUGCAUAAUUCAGCCAUGCUAUAGAUUAUUUGCAGUCAUUUGCAAAGGAUAAUUAUUCAUAAAUGAGGUCCAUGGGGCACCCCCCUCUGCAAUUAAUUUAACAUGAGUGUAUCCCUGGCCUCAGACGUUCUCUGCUGGUCAUUGAAAUGGGGUGUUUGUAUGCCCCUCAAAGAUAGAUGUAGAAUGUAAUGUGUGUUAAAUAUGAUUACAAUUGUUUCUACAAAGAGAAUUUCCCUACUAGCUGAGUUUUCCCAUUUUUGUAGUGAAGAUACUACUCAAUUUAUCAGCACAUUUUCAAGCAAAAAAAAUCAACAAAUUCUAUAACAUUAGUCAUGUAAUCACACAAACCAUUUGCUUUCCGAACAACAUUUUAACACAGCUGGUAGUGUGGCCUCUCUCCCCAUGGGUUAUCCUAGAAUCACAGAGCAGGAAGAGACCCUGAGAGAAGAUUGGUGCAAUCCCCUGUCCCUUAGGAAGGGCUGCAACUAAAUCAUCCUAGACAGAAACACAUUUGCCCUAAUUUUGAUGAGCUCCAGCGACAGAACUCUUGAGAAUUCCUAUUCUGAAUAGAGAGAAAUCUUUUCUUAGAGCUAAACAAUCCCUCUCAUUAGAGCCAAACUCCAUUUAUCUGUGUCUGGCUAUUGUUUGCUUUGGAGAAGCAAUGUUUAUGUCAUGUACUCUAACAAUGUUUAUGUCAUGUACUCUUUCCAGAUGAACUUACUUAUUUUUUAAUCAAGUAUUUUAAGAGACAGGACAUUGCUAUCUUGACUAGGCUGUUCCCAAACUCUUCGCCUCAAACUAUCUGCCCACCUCAGUCUCCUGGGUGAGUAGCUGGGAUUAUAGGCACCUGGCUCUACAAGAAUUUGAAUCAAUUUUGUCCUCAUGGAUGUUGUUUUUAAAUCUCUGUGAUGACCCUCUCAUCUUUCUAGAAUGUAUCUCCAUUCCUCUUCAGCUCUGUAAUCUAGAAAUAUAUAUCAUUUUCCAGUAGGGCUCUAACUAGUGAUGGGGAGGGGGAAGAUCUAUAUCUUAGAUGACAUUUUUUUCUCCACGUAGGCAUUUUUUGUUUUCAUAUGGGUUGGUCAUAUAUAGAAUAUUUGAAAGGUGUGUUCUUGAAACUUUGUAAUAUAAAUUCUUGAGAUUUAAGACAUCUCUAUAUUCAUUUUAUACCU